GUCAAUAAGUAGCGCAGACUGGGAAGAAUAUACAUACAGUGAUUGUUGCAAAUAAAGUUCAGUUCGCUCUUCGAUCGUAGCAGAGCAGAUAGCAGUUAUUAUCAACACAAGGUUCGCUGAUGAAAAAGAUGUAUAUAUAAAAAAUGUUGUGGAUGGAUUCGUCACUUCCUCGACAGACGCUAACCAUACUUCGAAAAGUGCUUUUACAUUUCAGGAGUCCAGAAACCUAAUCGAACAAAAUCACAUCCAGCUUUCAACUGCAGUGCAUGCUCAUAUUCAUUUAAUAUUAUGUCAUAUAACUACAAAAAGUUAAAUAAAACUGUUAUCUAUGUUAUAUUUGCAAAGAAACAAUAUAAUUAUCUCUAAAUACCAUAACGAUUUUACCAUGCUACAACACAAUCAAGAUAACCGUUUUUCUAGUAUAUUUAACGGAUUCAUAGUAGAUUUAUUAGUAGAGGCACCAACCUCGCAAAACCCUUGCCAUAAUGGUAAAAUAUACAAUUCUUGUUCUCAUAUCAAUAAUGAAAUCACUUCGGUUGAAAAACGUUGGUGCAAGUCUGUCAAUUCUAACCCCGAUUGUAGUAAUUUCCACCAUCAACCUUCUU